CAACCCUUGACAUCCCGGGACCGGCCCAGAGAUGGGUCUUUCACUUCGGUGACUCGGUGACAGGUGCUGCAUGGCUGUCGUCAGCUCGUGUCGUGAGAUGUUCGGUUAAGUCCGGCAACGAGCGCAACCCACGUCUUUAGUUGCCAGCAGUUCGGCUGGGCACUCUAAAGAAACUGCCCGUGAUAAGCGGGAGGAAGGUGUGGAUGACGUCAAGUCCUCAUGGCCCUUACGGGUUGGGCUACACACGUGCUACAAUGGUGUCUACAGUGGGUUAAUCUCCAAAAGACAUCUCAGUUCGGAUUGGGGUCUGCAACUCGACCCCAUGAAGUCGGAAUCGCUAGUAAUCGCGUAACAGCAUGACGCGGUGAAUACGUUCCCG
rnacentral:rRNA from 1 species